rnacentral:rRNA from 1 species
UUGUGCCCUUGAGGCGUGGCUUCCGGAGCUAACGCGUUAAGUCGACCGCCUGGGGAGUACGGCCGCAAGGUUAAAACUCAAAUGAAUUGACGGGGGCCCGCACAAGCGGUGGAGCAUGUGGUUUAAUUCGAUGCAACGCGAAGAACCUUACCUGGCCUUGACAUCCACGGAAUUCGGCAGAGAUGCCUUAGUGCCUUCGGGAACCGUGAGACAGGUGCUGCAUGGCUGUCGUCAGCUCGUGUUGUGAAAUGUUGGGUUAAGUCCCGCAACGAGCGCAACCCUUAUCCUUUGUUGCCAGCGAUUCGGUCGGGAACUCAAAGGAGACUGCCGGUGAUAAACCGGAGGAAGGUGGGGAUGACGUCAAGUCAUCAUGGCCCUUACGGCCAGGGCUACACACGUGCUACAAUGGCGCAUACAAAGAGAAGCGAACUCGCGAGAGCAAGCGGACCUCAUAAAGUGCGUCGUAGUCCGGAUCGGAGUCUGCAACUCGACUCCGUGAAGUCGGAAUCGCUAGUAAUCGUAGAUCAGAAUGCUACGGUGAAUACGUUCCCGGGCCUUGUACACACCGCCCGUCACACCAUGGGAGUGGGUUGCAAAAGA